GCCAUUACAGAGCACUUAGGGUGUAUCAAAAGAACACUGUUCCAUGCUCAGUUUUAUGGUCCUGUAAGUACAAUAAACGUUUCAGAUGGAGUGACAAAAGCCAAACCACAGGGGCAUCAAAAGUCCCAAGAGCAGAUUUCAGGGGAAACUUAAGAAGGCUGGAACAGGAAGCAGCUGAGCAGGCAGCCCACAACAUUCCCAGCUUUGGAAAUGCCAGGAGCUUCAACACACAUCAGGGAAGGCCCCACCCUGGACAGAGACCCUCAGCAAAUUCUGGACAUUCACAAGAUGAACCAGUGCCCUGUGGACCAAGUGAGGAAGGCAUGGAGAUGGGUGCGUGAGGUCGCUGCUCACAUCGAAUCUGCAGUCAAGACACAAAUGAAUUCUGCUGCUCUUCUUACCUUCCCAUUCUUGUUCAAUCCAGGACCCCAGCCUUUGGAAUGGAUCUCCCUACACAUAUAGGGAAGGGAGAAGCGCUUGGGGAAAUUGCAGCCCGUGACAUGGAUGGAGACUGUGCACUCACCUGGCUCCUUUGCUGAGCAGCACAGACUCUGGCUCAUUCUCAGGAGCCAAGCAUCUCAGAACAGGGAGGGGGAGGCUGACUGCUGGCUCCUGUGUCCACGCCCAUCACCCCUGCCACCUCCCUAGUCUUCUGUGUACUCUAGCUCUAAGCUGAAGGCUCUGCAACUUAGAAAUGCAGACACUCCAUGCUGGCUCUUGGACUGGUAGUCCCCAGGAAGAGGCAGUGUGCUGAUAGAUCCUGGGGGAAGUGGAGCAAGGAGGGCUGAGCUGAGCUACUCAAGGGCUUCAUAACUCUGAGGCCCAGUAACUUUUCAGUCUCAGACUGCAGAUUGGGAAGUGGAGGCCCUGAAUGGAGUGAGGCAUGCUGGGGUUCAUAAAAACUCAGCAGCCACAGAACCAGAUGGUCUGUCGCUCAACCUCUCCCAAGGCAUUGUUCCUGGAAGGUGCCAUAUAUUGUUUUGAGAAUUUCUUCUCAGAAGGAAACAGAAACAAUGCCUACCCCCUCCUUAUAAGGUCCUAAGGACAAAGGGAAGUAUGAUUUACCAGAGUUCACAUUGGAGAAUUACUGUGUUUAUUGGGCUUCCUUACUAGAGUGAAUGAGGGGCUGCUUACAGGAGCCUGGAUGACCACAAAACUUCCACACUGGAAACGUUGACACCACAAUGAUGAUGGUUACUCUAUAAGCCACAGAGGGAAGAGCUACAUGGAUGGUGGCUUCUCUGUAAGCCAUACAUACAGCCUCUCUUUAUUAACAUCCUCCAAUCUGUGUACUCCAUCAUCUCCUGAGACCACAGGCACAGGAAGUUAUGGCAGAAUUUGGUGGCUGGAAACUCAAAUGAGAGUCCAGUGAUCCUUCUCACUCUCUCUGUCUAUGAAGGGAUGUCCACAGUCAACAAGACAGAUGGCUAAUUUGAUGAAGAUGGUGGCUAUUUUGCUCCGAUGGCUGAGUUCCGCAUCCCAUAUGUUCUAUAUCCCAUAAGGUCACGUGUUCUGAAGACCCUUAAGUUCUCUGCUUGUGAACUAGAGCCUGUUUGGAAUGCCUGGUGCAAAAUAAGAUGCAGCCACUGCCUGGCAAACUAUACUGCACAGACUUGUGAUUAUAAUGAGAUUUUCUCUGUGUCAGGUGCCCAUGCUUGACUGCUUGUGAGGGCUCAUGGG